GCACUUGGAGGAUGAUAGCGAAAGCUUAUUGUAUUAAUACAAUAUUAACUCUGUUAAAUAAAAUUCUAGGUAUAUUUAUGAUUAUGACAUUGUAUGCUUAUAAGUCUUGACUAAGUCACGUGCCAGCAGUCUCGGUAAUACGUGGAAGACAAGUGUUAUUCAUCUUUAUUAGGUUUAAAGGGUACUUAGACAGCUAAUUCAGCUUAUUAACAAUAAGGACUAAUUAUGCUAGAGUUUUUAUAUGAGGAAAGUAGUACGGUGAGCGUAGAGAUGAAAUUCUUUGAUCCAACUUGGAGACUGAUAAAGGCGAAGGCGGCUUCUUAUGUAAAACUGACGUU
rnacentral:rRNA from 1 species